rnacentral:rRNA from 1 species
UACGUAGGGGGCAAGCGUUGUCCGGAAUCAUUGGGCGUAAAGAGCGCGUAGGCGGUCCGGUAAGUCCGCUCUGAAAGUCCGGGGCUCAACCCCGGGAGGCGGGCGGAUACUGGCGGGCUCGAGGCCGGUAGGGGGAAGCGGAAUUCCCGGUGUAGUGGUGGAAUGCGUAGAUAUCGGGAGGAACACCAGUGGCGAAGGCGGCUUCCUGGACCGGUUCUGACACUGAGGAGCGAAAGCG